GCUCCGUUGGUGAACCAGCGGAGGGAUCAUUACCGAGUUUACAACUCCCAAACCCAAUGUGAACCAUACCAAACUGUUGCCUCGGCGGGGUCACGCCCCGGGUGCGUCGCAGCCCCGGAACCAGGCGCCCGCCGGAGGGACCAACCAAACUCUUUCUGUAGUCCCCUCGCGGACGUUAUUUUUGCAGCUCUGAGCAAAAAUUCAAAAUGAAUCAAAACUUUCAACAACGGAUCUCUUGGUUCUG
rnacentral:misc_RNA from 1 species